CUGCGUACCAGUAGACCCUUUCUGGCUCCCUCAUAGCUAUAAAGGGGGGACAGCGUAUGCUAUAGCAAGUCUUGGCAUCAUCAGCAAAUUC
rnacentral:snoRNA from 1 species